UGCAAGUCGUGGGGCAGCACAGUGUAGCAAUACAUGGGUGGCGACCGGCAAACGGGUGCGGAACACGUACGCAACCUUCCUUUAACUGGAGAAUAGCCCGGGGAAACCCGGAUUAAUACUCCGUAACAUUAUGAAGUGGCAUCACUUUAUAAUUAUAGCUCCGGCGGUUGAAGAUGGGCGUGCGUCUGAUUAGGUAGUUGGCGGGGUAACGGCCCACCAAGCCUACGAUCAGUAACUGGUGUGAGAGCACGACCAGUCACACGGGCACUGAGACACGGGCCCGACUCCUACGGGAGGCAGCAGUAAGGAAUAUUGGUCAAUGGACGCAAGUCUGAACCAGCCAUGCCGCGUGGAGGAUGAAGGUCCUCUGGAUUGUAAACUUCUUUUAUUUGGGAAGAAACCACCGAUUUCUAUUGGUGUUGACGGUACCAGAUGAAUAAGCACCGGCUAACUCCGUGCCAGCAGCCGCGGUAAUACGGAGGGUGUAAGCGUUAUCCGGAUUCACUGGGUUUAAAGGGUGCGUAGGCGGGUUGGUAAGUCCGUGGUGAAAUCUCCAAGCUUAACUUGGAAACUGCCGUGGAUACUAUCAAUCUUGAAUAUAGUGGAGGUGAGCGGAAUAUGUCAUGUAGCGGUGAAAUGCUUAGAUAUGACAUAGAACACCCAUUGCGAAGGCAGCUCGCUACACUAUUAUUGACGCUGAGGCACGAAA
rnacentral:rRNA from 1 species